GUAUUUUUGGACCAUCAAGUUUUAAGGUUUUCAAGUUAAGGGUGCAUUUCCCACCUGAAAUCUAUUUUUUUCUCAUGUCUAUGCAUCUUGAUGUCGAGAUGACCAAUUUAAAGAUAGAGAACAACCUCUUCCAGAGAAUUUUUUGAAGUGGGCUCUAAUUUGAUUGCUUAGAACCUUUGGCUCUAUGUAAAUUUACUUCUUUUAUUCUCACAGCGAUAAGACCUUACCAUCCUAGCUACAUGUUUGGACAAAUUUUUAAAAUAUGCAUGUUGGCCCCCUCCCCCUAUAAUAAAAGAAAGAAACAAAAAAAAAAUUAUGGACAAAAAAAAAAUCAAUAAAAAAUGAGCCUCUCAUUUUCUGCUCUCCACAUCACCAUUAUUGAAUCUAAAUUAGUAUGUGCACGUUUUAAAACGAUAAGAUCCUAUCCUUAAAAGUAUGCAAUUAUAAUAUAAUACUUGAACCGUGCCAAUUUUUUA
rnacentral:lncRNA from 1 species